rnacentral:rRNA from 1 species
UACGUAGGGGGCAAGCGUUGUCCGGAAUUAUUGGGCGUAAAGCGCGCGCAGGCGGUUAUUUAAGUCUGGUGUUUAAUCCUGGGGCUCAACCCCAGUUCGCAUCGGAAACUGAAUGACUUGAGUGUAGGAGAGGAAAGUGGAAUUCCACGUGUAGCGGUGAAAUGACGUAGAGAUGUGGAGGAACACCAGUGGCGAAGGCGACUUUCUGGCCUAUAACUGACGCUGAGGCGCGAAAGCGUGGGGAGCAAACAGGG